CGGGUGAGGAAUACAUCGGAAUCUGCCUUGUUGUGGGGGAUAACGUAGGGAAACUUACGCUAAUACCGCAUAAGACCUCAGGGUGAAAGCGGAGGACCUUCGGGCUUCGCGCGACAAGAUGAGCCGAUGUCGGAUUAGCUAGUUGGCGGGGUAACGGCCCACCAAGGCGACGAUCCGUAGCUGGUCUGAGAGGAUGAUCAGCCACACUGGAACUGAGACACGGUCCAG
rnacentral:rRNA from 1 species